UGUGUUAGUGGAAGCGUCUGGAAAGGCGUGCGAUACAGGGUGACAGCCCCGUACACAAAAAUGCACAUAUUGUGAGCUCGAUGAGUAGGGCGGGACACGUGGUAUCCUGUCUGAAUAUGGGGGGACCAUCCUCCAAGGCUAAAUACUCCUGACUGACCGAUAGUGAACCAGUACCGUGAGGGAAAGGCGAAAAGAACCCCGGCGAGGGGAGUGAAAAAGAACCUGAAACCGUGUACGUACAAGCAGUGGGAGCCUCUUAAUGGGGUGACUGCGUACCUUUUGUAUAAUGGGUCAGCGACUUAUAUUCUGUAGCAAGGUUAACCGAAUAGGGGAGCCGAAGGGAAACCGAGUCUUAACUGGGCGUUAAGUUGCAGGGUAUAGACCCGAAACCCGGUGAUCUAGCCAUGGGCAGGUUGAAGGUUGGGUAACACUAACUGGAGGACCGAACCGACUAAUGUUGAAAAAUUAGCGGAUGACUUGUGGCUGGGGGUGAAAGGCCAAUCAAACCGGGAGAUAGCUGGUUCUCCCCGAAAGCUAUUUAGGUAGCGCCUCGUGAAUUCAUCUCCGGGGGUAGAGCACUGUUUCGGCAAGGGGGUCAUCCCGACUUACCAACCCGAUGCAAACUGCGAAUACCGGAGAAUGUUAUCACGGGAGACACACGGCGGGUGCUAACGUCCGUCGUGAAGAGGGAAACAACCCAGACCGCCAGCUAAGGUCCCAAAGUCAUGGUUAAGUGGGAAACGAUGUGGGAAGGCCCAGACAGCCAGGAUGUUGGCUUAGAAGCAGCCAUCAUUUAAAGAAAGCGUAAUAGCUCACUGGUCGAGUCGGCCUGCGCGGAAGAUGUAACGGGGCUAAACCAUGCACCGAAGCUGCGGCAGCGACACUAUGUGUUGUUGGGUAGGGGAGCGUUCUGUAAGCCUGUGAAGGUGGCCUGUGAGGGUUGCUGGAGGUAUCAGAAGUGCGAAUGCUGACAUAAGUAACGAUAAAGCGGGUGAAAAGCCCGCUCGCCGGAAGACCAAGGGUUCCUGUCCAACGUUAAUCGGGGCAGGGUGAGUCGACCCCUAAGGCGAGGCCGAAAGGCGUAGUCGAUGGGAAACAGGUUAAUAUUCCUGUACUUGGUGUUACUGCGAAGGGGGGACGGAGAAGGCUAUGUUGGCCGGGCGACGGUUGUCCCGGUUUAAGCGUGUAGGCUGGUUUUCCAGGCAAAUCCGGAAAACCAAGGCUGAGGCGUGAUGACGAGGCACUACGGUGCUGAAGCGACAAAUGCCCUGCUUCCAGGAAAAGCCUCUAAGCAUCAGGUAACAUCAAAUCGUACCCCAAACCGACACAGGUGGUCAGGUAGAGAAUACCAAGGCGCUUGAGAGAACUCGGGUGAAGGAACUAGGCAAAAUGGUGCCGUAACUUCGGGAGAAGGCACGCUGAUAUGUAGGUGAAGCGACUUGCUCGUGGAGCUGAAAUCAGUCGAAGAUACCAGCUGGCUGCAACUGUUUAUUAAAAACACAGCACUGUGCAAACACGAAAGUGGACGUAUACGGUGUGACGCCUGCCCGGUGCCGGAAGGUUAAUUGAUGGGGUUAGCGGCAACGCGAAGCUCUUGAUCGAAGCCCCGGUAAACGGCGGCCGUAACUAUAACGGUCCUAAGGUAGCGAAAUUCCUUGUCGGGUAAGUUCCGACCUGCACGAAUGGCGUAAUGAUGGCCAGGCUGUCUCCACCCGAGACUCAGUGAAAUUGAACUCGCUGUGAAGAUGCAGUGUACCCGCGGCAAGACGGAAAGACCCCGUGAACCUUUACUAUAGCUUGACACUGAACAUUGAGCCUUGAUGUGUAGGAUAGGUGGGAGGCUUUGAAGUGUGGACGCCAGUCUGCAUGGAGCCGACCUUGAAAUACCACCCUUUAAUGUUUGAUGUUCUAACGUUGGCCCGUAAUCCGGGUUGCGGACAGUGUCUGGUGGGUAGUUUGACUGGGGCGGUCUCCUCCUAAAGAGUAACGGAGGAGCACGAAGGUUGGCUAAUCCUGGUCGGACAUCAGGAGGUUAGUGCAAUGGCAUAAGCCAGCUUGACUGCGAGCGUGACGGCGCGAGCAGGUGCGAAAGCAGGUCAUAGUGAUCCGGUGGUUCUGAAUGGAAGGGCCAUCGCUCAACGGAUAAAAGGUACUCCGGGGAUAACAGGCUGAUACCGCCCAAGAGUUCAUAUCGACGGCGGUGUUUGGCACCUCGAUGUCGGCUCAUCACAUCCUGGGGCUGAAGUAGGUCCCAAGGGUAUGGCUGUUCGCCAUUUAAAGUGGUACGCGAGCUGGGUUUAGAACGUCGUGAGACAGUUCGGUCCCUAUCUGCCGUGGGCGCUGGAGAACUGAGGGGGGCUGCUCCUAGUACGAGAGGACCGGAGUGGACGCAUCACUGGUGUUCGGGUUGUCAUGCCAAUGGCACUGCCCGGUAGCUAAAUGCGGAAGAGAUAAGUGCUGAAAGCAUCUAAGCACGAAACUUGCCCCGAGAUGAGUUCUCCCUGACUCCUUGAGAGUCCUGAAGGAACGUUGAAGACGACGACGUUGAUAGGCCGGGUGUGUAAGCGCAGCGAUGCGUUGAGCUAACCGGUACUAAUGAACCGUGAGGCUUAACCUU
rnacentral:rRNA from 1 species